rnacentral:tRNA from 1 species
AUUAAUAUAAAAAGUAUAUUCACCUUCCAAGUAAAAAGUUUAAUUAAAUUUAAAUA